GACGAACGCUGGCGGCGUGCUUAACACAUGCAAGUCGAGCGGUAAGGCCCUUUCGGGGGUACACGAGCGGCGAACGGGUGAGUAACACGUGGGUGACCUGCCCUCAGCUCUGGGAUAAGCCCGGGAAACUGGGUCUAAUACUGGAUAUGACUCCAUGACGCAUGUUGUGGGGUGGAAAGCCUUGUGCGGCUGGGGGAUGGGCCCGCGGCCUAUCAGCUUGUUGGUGGGGUGAUGGCCUACCAAGGCGACGACGGGUAGCCGGCCUGAGAGGGCGACCGGCACACUGGGACUGAGACACGGCCCAGACUCCUA
rnacentral:rRNA from 1 species